UACGAAGGGGGCUAGCGUUGCUCGGAAUUACUGGGCGUAAAGGGCGCGUAGGCGGCCAUCUAAGUCGAACGUGAAAUCCCCGGGCUCAACCCGGGAACUGCGUCCGAUACUGGUUGGCUUGAAUCCGGGAGAGGGAUGCGGAAUUCCAGGUGUAGCGGUGAAAUGCGUAGAUAUCUGGAGGAACACCGGUGGCGAAGGCGGCAUCCUGGACCGGUAUUGACACUGAAAAGCGAAAGCCAGGGGAGCAAACGGG
rnacentral:rRNA from 1 species